rnacentral:tRNA from 2 species
UGCGUCUUUAGCUCAGCUGGAUAGAGCAACGCCCUUCUAAGGCGUGGGCCAGGAGUUCGAAUCUCUUAAGACGCACCAU